rnacentral:rRNA from 1 species
UACGUAGGGGGCAAGCGUUGUCCGGAAUCAUUGGGCGUAAAGCGCGUGUAGGCGGCCCGGUAAGUCCGCUGUGAAAGUCGGGGGCUCAACCCUCGGAUGCCGGUGGAUACUGUCGGGCUAGAGUGCGGGAGAGGCGAGUGGAAUUCCUGGUGUAGCGGUGAAAUGCGCAGAUAUCAGGAAGAACACCGAUGGCGAAGGCAGUGGGCUGGGCCGGUACUGACGCUGAGGAGCGAAAGCGUGGGGAGCGAACAGG